CUAAGUAGCACAGUAUUGACUAGUAAAUCAUCUGAUAUGAUUUACAUUUCUUAGUGGUUCUGUAUUGGAUAAGUAAAUACAUGGCCACACUGAUGAACUACUUCUGUGUUGAACAGGUGAUCGUGUUGAAGAAGGGUGAGGCUGAGAUCACCUGAUCACCAUAACAACCAUCAGAAUGGAACUCAUGGAAUUCUAAUAUAGAACUAUCAACUGAUAGGUGUUGUGGUUCCGGCAUUAUUGUUACAGGUUCAGUAUAAUGUUAUACCGUUACAUGUUACAGAGAUAGAAAACAUACAGGAGAGGAGAAUUCAAUUAUUAUAAUUAUUUUCUUUAUUUUCCAAUUUUGUUCUCUAUAGUAAUUCAUCAUUAUUUGAUUUGAUUUAUACAUUAAACUAAUUUAGGCCUAUUGUUUUAUUGUGGUUAUUUUGUGCAAAACCAUUAUUUUUAAAUAAAUGAUCUAGGUAAGAUUUUGCUUUUGUCUUUGUAGAAUUAUGUAGAAUUAUGUAUGUAUGUAGAAUUAAAUAAAUUACUUUUCUCAAUCAUG